GACGAACCGUGCGAACGUUGUUCGGAAUCACUGGGCUUAAAGGGCGCGUAGGCGGGCUGUCAAGUCUGGGGUGAAAUCCCACGGCUCAACCGUGGAACUGCCUCAGAUACUGACGGCCUCGAGGGAGGUAGGGGCGAGCGGAACUGUGAGUGGAGCGGUGAAAUGCGUUGAUAUUCACAGGAACUCCGGUGGCGAAGGCGGCUCGCUGGAUCUCUUCUGACGCUGAGGCGCGAAAGCUAGGGGAGCAAACGGG
rnacentral:rRNA from 1 species